CCUACGCGUGGCAGCAGUGGGGAAUCUUCCGCAAUGGGCGAAAGCCUGACGCAGCGACGCCGCGUGGGUGAUGAAGGUCUUCGGAUCGUAAACCUCUGUCAGCAGGGAAGAACGGUCACUGUGCUAAUCAUCAGUGAAUUGACGGUACCUGCACAGGAAGCACCGGCUAACUCCGUGCCAGCAGCCGCGGUAAUAUGGAGGGUGCGAGCGUUAAUCGGAAUUACUGGGCGUAAAGCGCUCGUAGGCGGUAUGUCAAGUCAAGGGUGAAAUCCCCGGGCUUAACGUGGGAACUGCCUUUGAAACGGGGAAACUGGAGUGUGUGAGAGGAGAGUGGAAUUCCAGGUGUAGGAGUGAAAUCCGUAGAUAUCUGGAGGAACAUCAGUGGCGAAGGCGACUAUCUGGCACAUAACUGACGCUGAGGAGCGAAAGCGUGGGUAGCAAACAGGAUUAGAUACCCCUGUAGUC
rnacentral:rRNA from 1 species